GACGAACGCUGGCGGCGUGCCUAACACAUGCAAGUCGAACGGAAAGGUCCUGAUUAUUUGGGGUGCUCGAGUGGCGAACUGGUGAGUAACACGUUAGUAAGCUGCCCUUGACUUUGGGUUAACUUAAGGACAGAGGGGCUAUUCCCGGUUAGGAUCUAUUGCUGUUUGGUGGGGGUGGGAAAGUUUCGGCGGUUGGGGAUGGACUCGCGGAUUAUCAGCUUGUUGGUGGGGUAGUGUGUUACCAAGGCUUUGACGGGUAGCCGGCCUGCGAGGGUGACCGGCCACAUUGGGACUGAGAUACGGCCCAGACUCCUACGGGAGGCAGCAGUGGGGAAUAUUGCACAAUGGGCGGAAGCCUGAUGCAGCAACGCCGCGUGCGGGAUGACGGCCUUCGGGUUGUAAACCGCUUUCGCCUGUGACGAAGCGUGAGUGACGGUAAUGGGUAAAGAAGCACCGGCUAACUACGUG
rnacentral:rRNA from 1 species